rnacentral:lncRNA from 1 species
AGAGAGAGAGUUAAGAGAAAUUGGGGAAAUUAAACAUGUACAAGUAGAAAAGGAAGAAGAUAAUGGUUAAUGGCGGCGUCGAUUGUGUGGAUGAGAUUGGUAAAAGUGGAGAUGGAGGUGGUGGUGGUGGUGAUUUUGGUGUGGGGAGGGAAGGGAGGCUGUAGCUGAACUGGCAAAAAAUGGAGGCCAAUUCGCGUGAAGACGGAGAAUCAUGUCUACCAAAUGCUAUAAAUCUUCUUUUUAAUUAUACAUUUUUUUCUCUUUUCCUUUUAUUUUUCGAUUUAGAGCAAUCUUUUCUAAAUGUCAUAAUUUUUUUUGUUAAUUUUUAGAAUCAUGUUACAUUAUUAUAUAUUACAUGAAUCAAUUAGUUUGUUUUUAUAUUAAUAUAUAACAAAAUGUUGAAUAAAAAAAAGCACAUUCUUUUACAACUUCUAAUUACUAAACACAAUAUAUUAUUUGCCAUGUAUAAUAAUCAUUUUAAAUAUAAUAAAAUCAUUUUAACUUAUACAAAUCCCAAAUAUGGACCGCCCACCUAAAUUCCAAAAAACAUUGGUGUAUGUCAUUUUUAGCAAAAUCAUCAAAAAUAUGGAAGUCGAUUUGGACACGACUGUUGGAUAUAAAGUAGUUUUUGAGUGUCUUCGAGCAUCUAAUUCUCAAAAAAAUUUCGACCAUCACAUAUCUCAUGUAGAAUACUGAACUAUCAUUUGUUACCGUCUAAUGAUUCAUCUAUUUCCGAUUGACGAGAUAUGUCCAGUUUGCCGCAAAGCAUAUUUGGACACUUUUAGGAAACAUGUGGUUCAUUGUAGAGAGUUCUCUGGUUUCAAGUGCCGACAUGAUAUGGUUAGGGAUGUUCUCUUUGAUGUUUGUCGGCGUGUUGGUAUUUUCGUGAAAAAAGAAGUGUUCGUAAAUUUUUUCACGGACCGGCUAACAUUUUGAUUUUUGGAUUGAUAGGAGGGAAGCACUUUGUGUGGAUCUCACUGGGAUCUCCCCUCUCGUCGGUUUGAGGCGCAGGGGUUUCACAACGUGGCAUGCUGUUUUGAAAGCCGCUGAAUGCAAAGUGGCAAAGCACGAUAAUGUAUGCAUUGAAAAUCGAUAUGUGUUUAUACCUUUAUCAUUUGAUCUUUUUGGUUUUCUCGCACCAAAAGCAGUGAAGCUUCUCAAUAGAGUCCAACGGGUCAUACAUUCUAAUGUUAUAUCUCCGAAUUUUAUAGAUGUUAUUUUCAAAAGAAUUAGUUUUGUCAUCCAAAAAGGACUAGCGGUAUAACUUGUUGUCAAUUUACCUUCCAACAAUAUGUAUCGACUUUUUUAUCAUCAUAAUUUAUCUAAUACUCAUAGAAGUUUAUCUUCACAAAUGGCCAGUUUUUCGAAACGAAAAUGGUCAAAGUCAAAGUCGAUUUAGAGUUCUGAUUUGGAUUUUUUUUCCACAGCCGGCGGCUAAAAAAGAAAGUAAUUUAAGAGACACAUGUUGUGCAUAUUCUAUCACAUGCACUUUUUAUAUAAAAACAUAUAAAACAAAACCUAAACGUAAUGUCUGAACAGCUCCUUCUCAUAUAUUAACCUAAUAUUGGCAAUUUCAUUCAAAACGCAUAUGGUAAAAGAUCGUAAAUGACACCAUCGAAAGUUCCAUCAUAUUAUUAAAAACAGCAUAAUCAUAACCCCCCCAACUCUGCCCUUUGCUGCUUCAUCUUGUAAAAAGUCCAUUUUUCAAGGGAUAUUUACGUUUCUUUGUUGGACAUUUUAAUCAUCUUUCCUGCAAAUCAAAGAAUAUAUUAUACAACACCUUCAACACAUAGUUAAAGAUGGGGAAUGAUUAAUGAAAAGAGUAAUUCAUACUUUGAAAGCCUCUGCUUCUUCAACAACUUCAUAGUUGUCCCUCCUCUGGCCAACCUGUGAAAAUCUUGGAUUUUCUCCAUAUCCAUAACCUCCCUGACCUCCUUGUCCGUAUUGUCCAAUACCACCACCUCCUUGCCCAAAUUGUCCACCACCACCGCCUCCUUGUCCAUAUUGUCCAGUGCCCCCUUGACCAUAAUUGCCACCACCACCCCCUUGUCCAUAUUGUCCAGGGACACCGCCUUGACCAUAACUUCCACCACCACCACCUCCUUGUCCAUAUUGUCCAGUGCCACCUUGACCAUAAUUUCCAACACCACCUCCACCUCCUUGUCCGUAUUGUCCACCUGCAGCUUGAUUAUAACUUCCACCGCCUGGUUGUCUAUAUUGUCCUCCAUAACCACCACCACCGCCUCCUCCUCCACCUUGGCCAUAUUGUCCUUCAGUUCCUUGUCUGUAGCUUCCACCACCUCCUUGGUUGUAGCCUCUUUCAGGUUGCUUGAAAGUAGAGUUCCUUGGAUCCAUUUGAGGAUAAUCUACCUGCUGCUUACUGGGGUCAACAUUUCUCCCAUCUACUUGGUUGUAAUUUGACUGAUAAGAAGGCAUGGGGCCUCUUCUAUCUCCUGCAUAAUCACCCUGUCCUCCAGGCGGACCAUUCUGCCCCAUUCCACCUCUUGGAGGUCUAUUGUAAUCUCUAUUUCGAUCACUAUACCUUCCUCCUUGUCUUCCAUAUUGUACAGGAGGUGGUCGUGGAAUUAUAGUUCCAUUGAUAUACUUGUCUCCUGAAAUUAAUGCUCAAAAAUCAUUUUUUGUUCACCAAAUUGUCAUAACAAAACUAGACCUUACCUCCAUAUUCUUUGUUUACAGGAUCGAUAUAUGAAUCAGGCAGUAUAAAAACAACCCCAGGUAAACCUGUUCAAGCAAGAGUGAGAUCGUUUACAUCAAUGAACACCAUCAACUAUGAAAAGACAUACCUUGAAACUGCUCGGAAACUUCCUCUGAUACUUGGAUCUGAAAUCCAUGGUAAAUAGUUGUGCUGCAAGCAUAGAUUUUCUUUUUUGCCUCUUCCACGCUGAAAUUAAAAAAAUAUUAGACUAAGUAAUACGCCAAAACCCUAUCUCGUAGAAGGAUCAUACUAUAAGUGCACUUAAACACGCGAUCAAAGGAAGAUACGACCUUCCAAGGACUUUGGCGGCAGUUUGGACGUAUGUUUCCACCAUCUCUUCUGGAGAUGGUUUCGGAUCUUUAGGGAAAUCCAUGGUAAUCAGCCAGUGCUCGUAAUCGCAUCCCUCGAAUAGUACAUCAUCUGGAUUGAUCUGAUCACCACCCAUGUCAACAUUGUUGUGUCUAGGUCGAGAAGAAAAGGCCCUUGAAGAUAUGAAUUGGAAGGAAAGAUUACUGGGCUUUGACUGUUUGACAUCAAAUAUGCUAGGGUUUUGUUGAGUGAUAGAGGGGGAGGAACUUGGUGCGACGGAUGGUAGGACGGAAAAGAAAUUCUUGUGAUUGAAGAUAGAUGACGUGAGAGCGAGUGAUCGCCGGAGUCGGAGAGCGUUCGCCGCCAUCAGUGGUGGUGCAGAGCCAGAAAUCGGGAGAUAACUAGGGUUUAUCCUUCAGGGUUUAACAGAUUUUGAGACCAUUCCACGUCUAUAUACUCCAUUUAAGGUUUAGUACAUAAAUGAUCCGUGAUCUAUGCACAUAUUGCUUUUUUAGUACCUAUAGCUCAAAAUUUCCUAUUUUAGUUUGCCUAACGCAAAUAGGGCGGUAGAGCUCUAUUUUGAGUAAAAAAUGUUAUUAUAUAUAUGGGGAUAGGGAAUAUACAUUACAGCCCCACCUAAGCUUAGGUACUAAACCUCUAAAAUAUGUCGUUUUAACAUGCUAAAUAUACCCGGUUUGGUUUCACUUGGUAAAUAUAUCAUUCUCCAUAACAUUUCUUUCUUUCAUUAUCGUUUUAUCAUCUCCGUUUUCUUUUCUCAAUUAUCGUUUAUUACAUCAUCCAAGUGAACAUUAGUAAACCCUAAACCUAAACCUAAACUCUAAAUUUAAACCCUAAACACUAAAGCUAAACCCUAAACCCUAAACCCUAAACUUUAACCCUAAACCCUAAACCCUAAACCCUAAACCCCAAACAUAAACCUAAACCCUAAACCUUAACCCUAAACCCUAAACCGUAAACCCUAAACCGUAAACCCUAAACAUAAACCUAAACCCUAAACCCUAAACCCUAAUCUCUAAACCCUAAACCCUAUUGUGUCGAUCUUGAAUUUACAUCUUGAAGUAUUAAUCGUGAAUCCAUUAACCGUAAUCUUUAUAUAGUAAAACAAUGUAUUUUCAAGAGGUUUAGUACCUAAGCUUAGGUGGGGCUGUAAUGUAUAUUCCCUUUUCCCUAUAUAUAUAUAUAUAUAUAUAUAUAUAUAUAUAUAUAUUGUGACAAACCGAAAUUUUUUAUCUUGUAAAUUCAGCCAAUCAACCAAAAGUCAGACUUAAUUCCAUUACCUGCUAGCUUUGUUAAGGGUCAUUCUAAUGAGUUCUAAGCCUAGUACACUCAAGGGUUGAGUGUGAGGGAGUAUUAGCUCGAGAUCAGAAGGCUUCACCUGAACUAGAGAACCAAACAUUUGAGGUUCACGACCGCAAACCUAGUUCACGGCCGUGAACUCUCUUAUGGUUGUGAACUUUCCCCAAUAUGUAUAGAUUUCCCUCAUUUCUUCAUCAUUCUUCACAAUCCAAACUCAAGAACUUCCAUUCUCUCUCAAGUAUCAUGAAUAAUUACUUCCAUUUCUCGUCUAAAUCGUAAGUGAUUCUUCCUUUUGUUCCUUGAUAUCCUUCAUGAUCUAGUACAACCCUAUGAUUUUAUCCAUGAAUUCACCACUUUUGUCUAGAUCUUCAAGAUCAUCAACUUUCACCAANAUAUAUAUAUAUAUAUAUUAAAGUCUUGAAAGAUUUUAACAGUAAAGUUUCAACUUCUGACUUUUGCCACUAAUGUUUUAACUUUUGAAUUCUUACUUCAAAUGUGGCAUUUUUUGUCGAUACCCAGAUUUUGUGUCCCCGUUUAUGUAUUUCAUAUUUAUUUUCCAGAUCCUUCCACAACCUUUGUCGGGUUACGUUUCCCAAUCCUUCCAUCCCUCUCUUCGUCAUGGAUAUUCUCGAUUUUGUUUGCUUUGUCUCAAACGAGAACGUCUCCUUCCUCAUUCCACAAAGUGUCGAACCCGUUCCGUCCGCCGCCCACCACCUCUCCGGAUACAGCCUCAAGCAGAGCUUUCGAUACUGUUUUUUCGAUCGUCUCCACUGCUCUCUUCCCUAAACACUUUCAAAUAAAAAUAGGAAGAAAUGGAAGGUGAAUUCAUGUUUGGCUUCGAUUUUGAAGGUAUGUACCCAAGUGAGCCCUAAUUUUUUAUCCAAUCAUGCCAUCAACCAUAUUUGAGUGAAACUGGGGUAAAGCUUUAUAGGUCCACUCCACUAACUUUAGUAAAGAGCCGCUUGAACUCAAAACGGAUUCGAAAAUGGGGGCGAUUAAAGGCGGUGAAAUGGUUUACAUGAUAUAUAGAGUUGUCACAUAUGGUCUAUCACCGCUGAUAAAUCUUCAUCUCCGAUGGUGCAAGUUCUGAGGCCUCGAGCAUCCUCUCCGGUGGCCGAAACGCCUCGGUCGACUGUCUCUCCCUUGGCUCCCUUACUUGAGCGGUUCUUUUACAGGGUAACAUUUCAAUCCUAAUAUUUGUAUCUAAGGUUGCACACGAAGUGUUUGUGAUAUUGCUUCAUUAAAUAGAGAAAUAGUUGAAUACCCCCAAACUUUCUUUGAUCGGUGGUUUGGGCAUUGGCCAAUGACCCCCCAUUGAGGGAUGCCCUACUAUGUUUCAAACCAUAUGCAACUUACCACCUGGUUACCAUCAGGUUAGUUCUUCGAUACUUCAAACAUUUAGGGUUCUUAGUUCUCAAGAUUAAUAACUGAAUCUUCAUAAUCAUAGUUUACCUCAUCUUGCAGUAUAAAUUCAUUGUUGAUGGUGAAUGGAGGCAUGAUAAGCACCAACCUUUUGUAACUGGUAAUUAUGGUGUUGUGAAUACCAUACUCUUAGCUAGGGAGCCAGACUUCACUCCUUCAGCCUUGACCCCACAUACCACUUCUGGUUCAAGCAUGGAUGCAGACAAUGAGGUAUAUUAACUAUAAAAUCUUUCAUCACAAUAUUAUUUCCACUUAUUUUCUAUAUGAGUCUAGGGUGACAUUAACUUAUGAUUUGUUAUCCUAAAACAAGGAAAUAUGGAGCAGGAUGUAACCCCAGAUAAGAACUCACAGACUGGCCGUGGUGGAAGACAGCCGGAUUAAGCAGAAAAUUCCUGACAAUCAACUGACGGUUGAUGCUAAGGUCUGUAUUCUUCAGAUAAUGCAACUUUUAACUUGGAAAAAAUAAGUUUAUUUGAUUAAAGAAGCCAAAUAUUGCCAUUUAUUCAAUAACUUGACUGAGUAAGCAGAAAAAAAAGGUAAUUAAAUUUAUUAUGUAAACAAAGAAAGUAUUUAUUUAUUUAUUUUAUUCGCGAUUGUUUGGCUUAGUUAUAUACCAAAGACAUUACCCCUUAUGAUAACCAAGAACUGGAUGAAUCUUUACGUAGAGAAGUAAGUAACACUAAUCCAGAUCCAAAUCCAACAUCUAGAUUAUCUUUAUAAGAUCUUUAUGAUGAUUACUUGGUGUUAUACUGUUAUGUGAAUUGCAGAUUGAAGCUGCUUUUCAUACAAAUGAAAUUAGAAGGACUCUACCAACUCCACAAGAUGAAAUGAGAGCUGGAAUGAGUUACUUCCAUGAAACAAUCUGGAAAGGUGUCCCUAAAUUCUUAAGACGUGUUGACACUGCUCUUAAGAACAUUGGAAUCAAUGAGCGAGAUCCCUAUAAUGCCCCUAUGAUUCAGUUCUCUACAUGGAUGGGUGGUGAUCGUCAUGGAAAUCCUAGGGUUACCCCUGAAGUAACCAGAGAUAUUUGCUUGCUUGCAAGAAUGAUGGCUGCAAACAUGUACUUUUGUAACAUCCGGAUUUUCAGGGUUAUUAUUGUGUAGGCUAAUCUUUUGAUUAAAUGAGAGACUCGACAAGUUGAGGAUCCAACUCGCCGAGUCGAGUCGGGUUUCUCACGCGGAUUUAAUGAGUGGACUCAACGAGUCAGAGGAAGGACUCGCCGAGUAGGUGUUGGGCAAAGAAACCCUAAUUUCUCGGGUUUGGGACCUAUUUAAAGGUCCUUAUGGCCUUCAUUUGCGGCUACCACACCCUGAGAAACCAUAGAGAGCAGAGAGGAAGCUUGUAGUGUAAGAGGAAGGCUAAUUCAUCAUCCUUUGGAGUGUCUUAGAAAAGGGAAGGAAGGAUUUCGAGUUGGGCUGUCUUGUGGGACUCAAAUCUUCCAUCAUUUCGUUCAGAGCUGCUGUGAGAGGUAAGGAUUCAUGUCCAUCUGCGUUUGUUUAGUAGAUUUCAUGAAUCUAGGGUUUCUUCAUGCUUUAUUUAGCAUGAAUCUAGAGUAUGAGAGGUCCCAUGGUAAAAUGAUUCCUAGAUCUGGACCUUAAGAGGUCCAGAGAGUCCCUUCCAUUAUGCUUUAUGCCUUUUCCUUGGAGUUAUGAGCUAGGGUUGUCAUGAUAUGAAGGAUUUCACCAAAAUAAGCAUAAAGAGCCUUGCAUGUGUACAAAGAUUCGACCUUUACGUAGUUAUUGGUCGUAAGGAAGCCAUAUCUAUGGAUUAGAGGAACAGAUCUGACCUCAAAAGGUCAGAUGAGUGUUGUCAUUGGAGCAACUCGCCGAGUCCAUGGGAAAACUCGACGAGUCGAGUCGGGUUGCCCCGCGAUUCGAUUGCAGUGGAAACCCGUCGAGUGAAAGGUUCACUCGACGAGUCGAGUGAGGCCUUAGAGGAGUCGGGUGACACGCAUGGACCCGCCGAGUCACUCUUGUGCACUCGACGAGUCUGGUCAGAGUUGAUCGUUGACUUGAAUUGACUUCUGUUAACUUUGGGGUUUUUGUCAACAUGAGUAAUAAAGCUCAUAGAGGGGUAAAAUGGUAUUUUACCCACUACCCAAUUAGAGAAGGAAAGAGAAAUUGUCGGUUUAAUUAGAGAUAUUUGCCUUAUGUGUUAGGCGGUGGCGAGUUCGAGAUUCAAGUGUAAGGAUAACUGCUUUCUGCUUUCAGGUGAGUCUUCUCACUAUACUUUUACUUAGAGUAGUAAUUAGAGUUACAUGACAGAGUAUCUUGUAUGCUAUUAUGUGAUUGUGAUACACUGCAUUAUUUCUAUGAGAUUCAUGCAGUGUAUGUUCCAGAGUUUACAGAGUUGGAACCGGAAGGUUCACAGAGUUAGGACCAGAGGGUCCACAGAGUUAGGACCGGAGGGUCCACAGAGGUAUAGCCUCGAGGGGCUAGUAUGUGUUAUGUGUGGUAUUUUGGGGAACUCACUAAGCUUCGUGCUUACCGUGUUAUGUGUUAUGUGUUAUGUGUUUCAGGUUUUCUCAGGAUCACGGGACGACACCAACUCGAUUGUACACACCAGAGGAAGAGUUAUGUUUUAGAGGAUCCUGGAUUAUUAUUUAAUUGAUUAUGGAGUUAUGUUUUGUAAUUUAAACAAAAUGAGAUUUUUACGAAAAGUGUUUUAAGAAUUAAGCGAAUUUAAAUGAAAAUUUUAGUUUUGAAAAUUACGGUGUUACAAGAUGGUAUCAGAGCCUUGGUUUCGGGUAAAUCUGGACUCAAACUGAGGAUUUGAGAAAAUUUUCAAAAGAGAUGAUUUUACUAGAGCGAAUAAGAGUUUCAAAGAGAAAGUGAGAAAGGGAAGUGUGUACAAUCAGACAGAGCUCGAACGGUGAUUCCCCAAAAUACCCUACUUUUAUGUUAUGAGAUAUUUAUGAGACAUUGUAUGAGAUAUUAUGCAUGCUAGAGACAGGCUAGGUGAUAGUUGCAAUUUUAGCUAUAUUUUUAUGCUUGAUUUUUAUUAUUUAUUAGCUAUUUAUUUGCAUAUUAGGGACAAAAGAUACUUAAAAGUGUGUGAAUUGUGUUUUCAGUCCAAAAAGAAUGUUUGGGAGCAAAAAGAAGCAGGAGUACUCAUUGGGAAGCUUUGGAAUGAUCAAAAGAAGAAAAGGCCAAAAAAAUUGAAGGGACUCGGCGAGUCGUGUCGACGACUCGACGAUUCGAUACGAAGAUUCGAGAAGCUAAGGAGUUCUUGACUUACCGUGCACGGGAAUUAAGGGAUGGACUCGACGAGUCGGUCAUGGACUCGACGAGUCGGGUCGAAUCUAUAAAAAUGACUUUUCAGAUCGACACAAGGAAUUCUGGAGAACCCUUGGGGAGAAAAGCUGUGAAUAAAAGUCAGAGAAGACCUAGAGAACGAAGAUCCAACCCUAAAUCCGAUUCUGAAGGAGAUUAGAGGCAAUUUUCAUUACUUUCAAUUCAAUCUAUUAUUUCCAGCAUGUAUAGACAUAUAGAUUUUGUGUUUAUGCUUUCAAUUGCCUCAAUCAUGAGCUAAAAACUUUUAACUUCUGUUUGGGGAGACAAUAUUGAGACUAUGGUUUGAUUGGUGGUAGGAUUAGUUUAAUGUUGGUGAUUUUGUUAAUCUUAGCUUGUUAAAGAACCUUAUGUGUGAAUGAUAAUUGUUUUUCUGUUAAUAGGAAGAGAAUUAAGCUGCAUGAACAUCUCUUAAUUGUUUACCUCAUAUAAUUCAUGUGACCACUUUAUUAUAUGACUAGGAUUAGCUAAUGUGAAACUAGAAUUAAUAGGAAAAUAGGUAAAUUCACGUGUGAGCUUGUGUGAUGACCAUCAACAAGAGGUUAACUAAAGGGACAAUUUAGUUGACCAUUACAAGUAUAAAUUAACCCGAAUAAAUAACCUAGGAAAUUAAAGUAAAUUAGACAACUGGUCAUUGUUUGAGUUAGUUUGUUUUCUAAGGAUUAGUGUAGCGAAUUUGAACCUAAUCACUUGAAUCGGUAGCCAAUAGAACAACUAAUCCAUUGCACUAUUACCAUAAAAUCAACCAUAGGAUCAAUUGAGUUGAACCUAAACAGAAGUUUCCUUCAGUAUUGAAUUUAGUUGAAUCUUUUCUUUCCUAGUUUCUAGUUAAUUAGUUUAAUUAUUAGUUAGUAAGUUUCUAGUCUUGCAAAGCUAGAGAAAACAAUCUCUUUUAUUAUUUGUUAGUGGCCUUUAGAUAAUUUUAGUAAUUCGUUCAAAUUGUCGUUCCCUGAGUUCGAUACCCUGCUUACUAGAUCUAUUCCACCAAUUGACAAGUCCAUUGCCUUUUGUGUGAUUAAUUACAUUUUAUAAGUAGGAAUAAAACUAGUUGGUUUUACACACAUCACUAGGUAUUUCAUAUUUUAGGACUAGAGUGGCGUCAUUUGUGACGCCUUAGCCUAGGGUUGUUGUUAUAUGUGAUGUGCUUUCGAGUAUGUGUUGUGUAAGAGUGUCCAACAGGAAUCCUUUUAGGGGAUUCAAGUAGAGGAGUAAUCUAGAAGAGGUAUCUAUAUAAGCAUAUGAGGAGCCUGCCGAGAGGGUAGCCAGAUGCCCACGUGGGGCGGAGUUGUUAGAGUCGGUGAUAUCCUUCAAGUUUAUGGACGGCGAGUAGAUAAUAACCUAAGGAGGUUUUACGUGCUAAAGGAGAUGCUUCGAUGCAUGAAUGCUUGCUUUGUGCUUUGUGGAACUCUCGACGAUGGGAGUCAGCUACUAAGUGAGUAUGACGAUAUUCAGGAGGUAGAUGGCUGGAAUCAUUAAGAGUUCAUCAGCAGCUGAUGGUGGAGAAGUGUGAGAACCUAGGAAGAGCCUAGGGAGUAGCGUUAGUCAGAUGAGUACGCUGGCAUAGUAGAGCAUUUCGCCGAGGAGCAAGCACGCGUGACGGGAUUGGUGAACGAGAAGGUUGAGCUGCUACUUAGGAGCUCUGGGAUGGUCCGUGUGGAAAGUAUGGGUAGAUGUGGCAAGUAGUAUGGGCCCGUACUACCGAAAGUAGAGGAGCCAUACUCGAUACAGGGAGUAUUCUAAAGGUUCUAAGUAGCAUAUUGAGGAGUGAUGUUAUGGUUCGAGUACCAUACAUCGUAGCAAAUUGAGGAGUGAUGUUAUGGUUCGAGUACCAUACAACGUAGCAGAUUGAGGAGUGAUGUCAUGGUUCGAGUACCAUGCAUCAUAGCAGAUUGAGGAGUGAUGUUAUGGUUCGAGUACCAUACAUCGUAGCAGAUUGAGGAGUGAUGUUAUGGUUUGAGUACCAUACAUCUUAGCAGAUUGAGGAGUGAUGUUAUGGUUCGAGUACCAAGCAUCGUAGCAGAUUGAGUAGUGAUGUUAUGGUUCGAGUACCAAGCAUCAUAGCAGAUUGAGGAGUGAUGUUAUGGUUCGAGUACCAAGCAUCAUAGCAGAUUGAGGAGUGAUGUUAUGGUUCAAGUACUAUAUAUCAUUGCAGAUUGAGGAGUGAUGUCAUGGUUCGGAUACCAUGCAUCAUAGCGGAUUGAGAAGUGACGUCAUGGGCUGAGUACCAUGCUUCGUAGCAAAUGAUGCUCGUGGUUCUCCGGUUAUCCGGUUAUGAUUGAUUAGGUGGAGAUUGGACACAAUGGAGUUUUAGUCCUGAGGGUCAUGAUUGAGUCCGAAGAGGCAUCCCUUGAGAAGGAGGUAGAGAGCAUUUCAAAGUAUUUUUGGUAAGAUGUCAAAUGUAGUCGCAAGACUCAAGGAUGAGUAGAGAUGGCAGUUAUGGAGGAUCGUGGCAUGAGUUGAGCAAUCAGCCGAUGGUGGAAAUGUCAUUUUCUGUGACCUGAGUGGUGUUAUUUUUGUUCCUGUGGGAAACAGGAGAGGUCUUGAGAUUUUUGGUUUCCAAGGAUGGGGGUGAGCCCUGUGGGGUGGCUUUGGUUACAAUCUUUCAUCAGAGUAUUUAGGCAGUAUGUCUGCCGAGAGGUAAUGUUAGAGCCUGAGCAAGGUAUCAGCGGAGACCGAGAUGGUUAAGGACAAGGAUACACCCUAUCUGAGCAUAGUAGGGCAUGUAUUAGCUGCAGCGGCAGACGAUCAAGAAGAGGAUAUUGGGGCGGUGGCUCUUAUUGUCUAUGAUGAGUAUCGAGUGUGGUAACGAGGAAUCCACUCUUAUUACGACCCACAUGAUGGAACGUUGGCUGAAGAGUCGAGGAUGAGGAAUAUGUAGUUCGUGAUUUUCAGACUAAGAGUCAGGGUUACGAAUGGACAGUUGAUAUGUCCAGUAGUGGGAUGGUACGAGAUUCUGAAUGACUAGAGGUAGUCAUGAUGAGAAGUUUCUGAGGACUUCAUUGCAGAUUUGGAGAAUUUGGAAUUACUUGACCUCCAUCAGGGAGAUCAUCAAGCAAUGCGUAUCACCUUCCAAGAGUAAGUGUGAUGUUAUUGGUAAAAACAGUCUGUGGGUUAGACUGUUGGCAAACCAAUUGGUGAUAGAUCAAACCCUAAGUGGGGGAGAACUGAGUACUUUUGAGGAGAUCUGAGAAUUGUUCAAGAGCGAUUAGAGAACUGGAUAGAGAGGCCUGCGGUGCGAAUUCCUGAGACCAGAGUUAUUGGUGGUCAAGGAGAGGUGCAGAGCGAGAUAAUGCAUGUAGUACGUGUUUGAGAAAGGAUGAGUGUCUCCACGGCAAGUGGCCGUUGGUCGGAGACCCUAUAGUGGUUAGGAAUCCUUCAAGGUUAAAAUGGUGAAAUCGAGGUGGUUGGCUUGCGAGGUUAGUUCGACGGUUGAGAAUUUCUAGUUCAGAGUAUGGGCUAUUAUAUGCAAUAUGGGAAGGAAAGAAGUUGAUUGGGCGACCAACCUUAGGGUCGGUCGGUGUAUUCUUGCAUGUGUUUUGAGCAAUAAAGGAGGGAGUUUCAGAUGGUUGUCAUCAUGUUCCGAGUCAUUGUCGAUUCAUCAGUGUUUCGAUUGAGAGUUGGGAUACUCCGAAGUUGCGCAUUGUGUGAAAUGAAGGAUAGUUAUGAUAUCCUGAGGGAAUGCAUGGGGGUAUCCGAGUAUGAUGUCCUGAAUUUCGAUUUAUAUUAGAGUCGUGAAUUUGAGGCGGCAAGUGGUGAAUUAAGUAUCUACGGUUCCAGUGGGAGCCCUUCGGGUAUUUCCAUCAAGAGGGAUUAUUUAAGAAUAUGGAUCUCAGCAGGGAAGGUAUUUUGUUAUGGCGGUCGCCGUCAGAGUCUGUGAUGCAUAUUUGGGUCAAGUGUAUGUAGCUAUUUAUGAUAGUCUGCAAAGCAUGAGUUAGUGGACGUAGUGUGGUGUUGUAGUGAGAAUGAGAUUAUGGGGUGGAUAGAGAGGGUGUUGUGAUGCUACGGGGAGUCGUAGUACUCGCAAGUCAGAGAGAGGGAGUUGUGAUACUACGAGGAGCCGUAGUAUUCACUAGUCAGAGGGUGUUGUGAUGCUACGGGGAGUUGUAGUACUCACAAGUUAGAGAGAGGGAGUUGUGAUACUACGGGGAGCCGUAGUAUUCACUAGUCAGAUGGUGUUGUGAUGCUACAGGGAUCCGUAGUACUCACUAGUCAGAGGUUGUUGUGAUGAUACGAGGAGUUGUAAUACUUACUAGUCAUCGAGAGGUCAUCAUGAUGCUGCGGGGAGCAAUAAUACUCACUAGACGAUAAGAGAGGGUGAUGAUGAAGUGAUCUACAAUCAGAGUAUGAUGCAGAAGGGUUUUAGGCUUGAGUAGCCCUAGUAUUGAGUUUUUGGAGCCUGGUGGUUGGACCAGGGGCGAGACUGGGGUCUCCGUCUUUUUCGGAAAUCGCUAUAUUCCGAAUUGAGUGGUGGUUUGCGCGCAGGUUGCGAGUCAUGAGUUUUGAGGUGAGUGUUUCACUGGGAUGAGUAGUUCCAACUUUGGGGCAGACCAAACUCUCAAGUUGAGUUUGGCUCUGGUGAUGCGUCAGGUAGGCGGGUUGAGUUUCAGAUUUAGACAUGGAUUACGUGUUAAGAAGGGGGUUAUUGUUGUCACUAAUAUCUUAGACCUGAGCAGGGUCAGUUCGAGGGCCUUUAUCUGGCGAUGCGAGAAGGAACUCAGUGAGACAUUUUGGAUCAUGUUAUGGGUAACCAUGGAGGUUCAACUAUUGGGUUGAGGUCAGACCUCAUGUGAUGUUAAAAGAGAUAUGGAAUGUGGAGCUGAGGUUUAUGAAUGUGAUGUUUGAGGACACUUCUGAGCGAGCAUGGUUAUGCUUUUGUGUCUAAGGUCAGAGUGUUGGGGAUUCUUUGUUCAGAUGGUUUCUGAUAGCAGUCUAGUAGAUGUGCCACGGUGGAGUGUGAGCCCUUUAUUUCGUGGGGCGUGAUUCGUAUGAUUUAGCAUGAUCGGCUUGGAGGAGAGAUAGCCGGUUGUUGGAUGUGGUCUUAUGAGAAUCAGAGAGCCAGUGAGGAAACUGGGUUGAUAUUCGAGGAGCAAAUAUCAUGGUGAUCGCUCAAGUAGGCGGGCUGGCGGAGGGUCAGGCCACUAGAGUUUCUGGUUAUUGGGAAGGAGUAUUUUAGCGGCGAAAGAGUUGGUUUAAACUCUGGUUUUGGAGGUUCUAUGUGGUUUCGGGUGUCCAUAGAUAAAGACAUCAGUGUGGUAUCAAGAUCAUUUUGGUAGUGCCUUUCGGGUUAAUGAUUUAAUCUAUGUGUGGUUAAAGAAUGAUUUCGAGGGCGAAAUCUAAUUCAAGUGGGGGAGAAUUGUAACAUCCCGAAUUUUCAGGGUUAUUAUUGUGUAGGCUAAUCUUUUGAUUAAAUGAGAGACUCGACGAGUUGAGGAUCCAACUCUCCGAGUCGAGUCGGGUUUCUCACGCGAAUUUAAUGAGUGGACUCGACGAGACAGAGGAGGGACUCGCCGAGUAGGGGCUGGGCAGAGAAACCCUAAUUUCUCGGGUUUGGGACCUAUUUAAAGGUCCUUAUGGCCUUCAUUUGCGGCUACCACACCCUGAGAAACCAUAGAGAGCAGAAAGGAAGCUUGUAGUGUAAGCGGAGGGCUAAUUCAUCAUCCUUUGGAGUGUCUUAGCAAAGGGAAGGAAGGAUUUCGAGUUGGGCUGUCUUGUGGGACUCAAAUCUUCCAUCAUUUCGCUCAGAGUUGUUGUGAGAGGUAUGGAUUCAUGUCCAUCUGUGUUUGUUUUGUAGAUUUCAUGAAUCUAGGGUUUCUUCAUGCUUUAUUUAGCUUGAAUCUAGAGUAUGAUAGGUCCUAUGGUGAAAUGAUUCCUAGAUCUGGACCUUAAGAGGUCCAGAGAGUCCCUUCCAUUCUGCUUUAUCCCUUUUCCUUUGAGUUAUGAGCUAGGGUUGUCAUGAUAUGAAGGAUUUCACCAAAAUAAGCAUAGAGAUCCUUGCAUGUGUACAAAGAUUCGACCUUUACGUGGUUAUUGGUCGUAAGGAAGCCAGAUCUAUGGAUUAGAGGAACAGAUCUGACCUUAAAAGGUCAGAUGAGUGUUGUCAUGGGAGCAACUCGCCGAGUCCAUGGGAAGACUCGACGAGUCGAGUCGGGUUGCCCCGCGAUUCGAUUGCAGUGGAAACCCGUCGAGUGAGGACUUAGAGGAGUCGAGUGACACGCAUGGACCCGCCGAGUCACUCGUGUGCACUCAACGAGUCUGGUCAGAGUUGACCGUUGACUUGAAUUGACUUCUGUUGACUUUGGGGUUUUGGUCAACAUAAGUAAUAGACCUCAUAGAGGGAUAAAAUGGUCAUUUACCCACUACCCAAUUAGAGAAGGAAAGAGAAAUUGUCGGUUUAAUUAAAGAUAUUUACCUUAUGUGUUAGGCGGUGGCGAGUUCGAGAUUCAAGUGUAAGGAUAACUGCUUUCUGCUUUCAGGUGAGUCUUCUCACUAUACUUUUACCUAGAGUGGUAAUUGGAGUUACAUGACAGAGUAUCUUGUAUGCUAUUAUGUGAUUGUGAUACACUUAUUAUUGCUAUGUGAUUCUUGCCGUGUAUGUUCCAGAGUUUACAGAGUUGGAACCGGAAGGUUCAUAGAGUUAGAAUCGGAAGGUCCACAUGUGACAACCUGACAAUUUUACACUGAGCAAUCGAUCCAUAUAUCUAUAAUUCACUUGAAUUUAGCAUGUUUUAAUAGUAUAUUGAGUCCGCGCUAGUGUUUUAGGCUUAAUAUAUCAUAGAUAUGGACCUUGGGAAGGAUUAGGAAGGGUGUUGCAUCACUAAAUCUAGCCAAACACACCAAGAUAGGUGUGUGCGGCCAAGCCAGGCACACACCCAGCAGCAAACCCCUCCAGCCUCACACUCAACCCUAUAUAAAGGGGAGGACCCUCUUUCAUUCACUUUUGGCUGCAUCCUUUCUCUCUCUAUACUUUCUCACUCUAAAAAACCACCCAAGAACACCAAGAAGGCUCCCAAAACGUGAAGAACACCAUCAUUUAGCUUAUCAUAGAGGUAAAACACUUGAAUCCAAGCCUCAAACUCAUAAUGUUCUUCAUCCUAUGAAGGAGUGCGGCCGCACACCUUCAUCAGGUGGCCACACACACUCAUAAUACCCUCCAAAGUGAGAGUAAAGCCACAAAAUCAUCACAUGGGACUCAAGCAAGGAGUGUACAACCGCACACCCCUGUGUACGGCCGUACACUCUAGUGUGCAGCCUCACUCUAGUGUGCAGCCUCACUCACAAGGGCAAAAUCAGAGUUCAUUGAGGUAUUCUUCGGAUUCCUUCUGUUUUAUGAUUUAAACCUCCAUUAGAACACUUUUAGGGCUAGUUUGAUGUAUUUCCCAAACCCUAUAGUUGUAUGGAUGCCUUAAUAGGUCGAGAUAUCCUUAAAUCUGUUCAUUUAGGAGUUGUAGAGCCCGGAUCUAUUGCCUUUUUGAAGACACUUUGCAUGAGAACCCUAGAUCUAGCCUUUAUUAUGCUUUUUGAGCCAUUUUAUCUUCAUGGAUGCAUAUGGGCACGUAAAGAUAGAAUCUUUACGUGCUAAUCGAGUUAAGGGAGCCCAGAUCUAUAAGUUUUAUACACUGGAUUCAAGCAUAAUCGAGUUUAGAGUUGCUGCAUGCAAGCGACUCGGCGAGUCGGAAGAACGACUCGGCGAGUCGAGUUGUGGGUCCCCGAUUUUUCCCUUUUGAGUGAUGCCGAGUGGGGACCAGUGAGUAGUAGAGUAGACUCAGCGAGUCGGAGGUCAGACUCAGUAAUGCAGGGACUUGGCGAGUUGUUCAUACAACUCGGCGAUUCCAAGGCAAUCUUCUUAGCUCGAAGAACAACUCGUCGAGUUGUUCAUACGACUCGGCGAGUCGGAUGCAGAUUGCCUGAGUUUUAGAUUCGAAAGGGAACUCGUCGAGUUGAUGCCAUACUCGACGAGUAGCAGCGAGUAGGGUUGAGAAGUGAGAAUAGGGACUCGGCGAGUUGGCGGCCCAACUCGGCGAGUCAGGUCAACUGUAGGUUGACUUUGACCAGGAGAGUUGACUUUGACCAAGGGUAAAAGAGUCAUUUUACCCCAGUGCAGUGAUUAGCAUUUGAUUGAGUGUGUUAUGGAUUUGUAGCCGGGGAGAUACCGGAGCAGCAGCAGUUAGCUUCCAGANNNNNNNNNNNNNNNNNNNNNNNNNNNNNNNNNNNNNNNNNNNNNNNNNNNNNNNNNNNNNNNNNNNNNNNNNNNNNNNNNNNNNNNNNNNNNNNNNNNNNNNNNNNNNNNNNNNNNNNNNNNNNNNNNNNNNNNNNNNNNNNNNNNNNNNNNNNNNNNNNNNNNNNNNNNNNNNNNNNNNNNNNNNNNNNNNNNNNNNNNNNNNNNNNNNNNNNNNNNNNNNNNNNNNNNNNNNNNNNNNNNNNNNNNNNNNNNNNNNNNNNNNNNNNNNNNNNNNNNNNNNNNNNNNNNNNNNNNNNNNNNNNNNNNNCAGUGGGCAAGGCCCAGUAUGUGCUUUAUAUGUAUUGUAUGGUAUGUGGUAGUUUGGGGGAGCUCACUAAGCUUCGUGCUUACAGUUUCAGUUUUGGUUUCAGGUACUUCCGCAAGCAAAGAGAAGAGCUCGGGAUGAUGGCAUCGCACACACCACAACUUCAGUUUUUGUCCUGGAAGUUGAUUCAGUUUCUUGAUAUGUUUUUAUACAGUUGUGAUACAGUUUUCCUCACAGUAUUUACUAUGGUUUGAGAUACAUAGUGUGUGGUUUUAUUAUAUGAUACUCAGUUUCAUGGGUUGUUAUAAUAAAAAUCGAAAAUUUUUGGGUCGUAUUUUUGGGUUGUUUCAAGUACUUUAUUCAAUUCUUGUAAUUAAGAGUACUUUAUUCAAUUCUUGUUAAUAUAUUCUUGAAUUCAUUUUCUCCUACAAAUAUUUUGGUUAUUUACUAUGAUUAUUUUGUUUCGAAUUUGUAUAACAACUAAUUCUAGUAGAUUUGAGAUUUUUGUUAAAAUAAUUUUUUUGUUUAAAUAAUCAAGCUAAUCAUAUUAUUCAAGCAUAAUUCAAAANNNNNNNNNNNUAUAUAUAUAUUGGCGUGGUUUGAUUUUUAAGGUUAGUUUCUAACAUAAACUGCUCCAAAUCAACUAGGAUUGGUUUUUGCAAAAUUGAAAAACCACGUUGUUAGUUAUUGUAUUGGUUUUGGUUUCUCGGUUUCGACUGUUAUUGUGAUCAAAUUAAAUAAUUAUAUAAAUAUAUGGUCUAAAUGUCUUAUUAUAAUUAUGAUUUAGGAAUUAAUUAGGAGUAAAUAGAAAAAUUAUGAAAUUUUAAUUUCAAAACCCGUCAUUUAAAUUGGAGUCAUAAAUUCUGAUUUUUGGGUGAAUUAGAAAAGUUACAAACUUAGGCAUUAUACAUAGCUUGAAAAAUCCUACAAAAAACACACUAGAAGUGCAAGAAAAGGUUGAGAAACCAGAGAAGAAUCCAUGAAGGAAGUUGUGAAGUUAUUUUUCAGAGUUCUAGCAAAUUAAGGUACGAUCUCCUGAUUUUAGCAUGUUACAGUCGUUAGGAAGAUUUAUAUGCAUGUUUUAGGAGUUUUGGUUCUACCUCGUGUGUCUCUGUUCGGGUUAAUAAGUUGUGAUUCCACGAAAAUAUGAAAUGUUAAAACUUAUGUAUAAAAGCUUGUAUAAAAGCUUGAAUGCAUCUCAAUUUGGAGCUUAUUUUUAUAGUUGACUUUGGAUAUUUGUUAGUAAGAAAUGGAGAAAAAUAAUGGUGAUUUUUUUAUAAUGGUUUAGUAAGAAACUAGAUUAUGACCCGCGUUAAAUGCGGGAACGCAUAAAUAAAAUAUAAAUGUAUAUAGAUAUUACAGAAUAAUUAUAAAAAAUCAGGGUUAUUGGUAUUAUUGAAAUGUGUAGAAAAUACACUGAAAUCAGUAAAUAUAUAUAGUCGUUGAAUGACCUCUUUGUGAACAUUUUUUUGUUUGAUUAGUUGAACGACCUUUCUCGUAACAAAGUAUCUUCAAACAUUUUUUACUUGUGACAUGAAAAAUAGUUACAUAUAGUUGACCAUGCGCAAAAACAGGUUUACGCAAGUAUAAUCCAACAUUUGACAAUGUACUUUCAAAAUACAUUGUUAUUUCAUGGUUAUAUUGAAAAAUAUAAUUGUUUAUUUCAAAAUUAGAAACGUAUUAAUGUUUAUUCGAAAUGAACCACAUAAACCCCCCACAAUAUUAAAUACAAAAGAAACUCUAACAAAUAAAUAUAAAAACAGUUAUGUUUGCUCGAUUUAGAUUUUGCCCGUGACUCAUUGAAAAUGUUAAAAAUACAUAAUUGACACACAAAUUACUUGUUAUUAUGAGACGAAUUAAACAAUAAACACAUGAUGAUGUCGGUUUUUUAUUAAUUUUUAUGAUAAUGAUAAAAUAAUGAAAAAAUGAAUGUUUACUUCAAGACAUUUGCAGACGUUUGUGUAAGGUCUAUGGUCUUAACUGUUGAGUAUUCAUAUCUUUUACAUAUAGCUAUUAAAUGGUUAUUUAAAGAUGAAUUAAAAUUUAUUUCUAUUUCUUGCCGAUUUAGAAGUAUAUUUCGAUCAUUUUUGCAUUAGAUAAAAAACAUAUAGAUUCUUUUAGUAUUACUGCAAUCCUACUUUCAUAUAAAAUUAAUUUUUUUGCAUCAGACCAAACUCAGUGUUUUUCAGCAUUAUUAUCAUCCUAUAUUAUACAUUCUUGAUGGUUUUGAAAAGUUCGCUUCAAUUUCUCAUUCCUUUUUAAAAGUUCAUUGUUAUUUCUUGUUGCUUUUAGAAAUAAGUUGUAGACUAUUUUUUUGUAUCAGACCAAAUUUGAAGGUUAUUUUUGUAUUAUUACCAUCGUAUAUAUUCCAUUUCAUUUUUAUUAUUUGAAUAAAGUUUUUGUAGUUCAAAACUCAUACGAAUAUAAGAAUACUGACUAUAUAUUAACCGAUUCUUUAUAAUGUAUAAUUAAAAAUCAAGACAGUAUAAUCAUAAUUUAUUGAUGUUAGAUAAAAUGUAAUUUAUUUGGCGAUGAGGUUAGUUUUUGGUUAUUUAUUUGGGAAUUAUAAUAUGUAUUAUGCAUUACAAGUAUCUAUCUUUCGAAUUUAACAUUUAUUACUUUCGAAUUUUAUUUUGGUUUGACAUAGGCAUGAUCAUCUCAUAUUUAAUACUUUGUUGUUCUUGCACCUUUACUACCUGUUGACUUACAUUCAUUAAAUCAAGAUUUAACAUUUACAAAAAAGGGAUAAUUUCAUUUAUAUCCUUGGAAACUUUAAAUAUUACAUCUAUAUCCUUGGAAAUUUAAAAUUUACGCAUAUAUCCGUAUGAAACUAUAAAACUCACAUUCAUAUCCAAACACAUAAUUUAAUUAGGUUUAAAUUAAUUUAAUAUUAAAAACAUAUCUAAAAUUCAAAAAUCCAUAUGAUUAUACUAAAAUGCCCUUUUCAAAUUAAAAAUUAGCAUUAAACCAAUUUAAAAGCAACUACUUGCAGAAUGUGAAUCGGCUAAACCUAAUUUUGAAAUGGCUAAACUUAUUAUAUGCGAGCAUUGUUAGAAAUGAAAACCAAAAAGAAUUCUUUCGAGAAUGAUGAAGCCACUUAACGUGAAACAAAUGUUGGGUCCAUGGAAUGUUACUUGGCCAAUUAACGUUGAAUAAAUAUCAUAACCCCAAUCUCGUAAGCACUAUGACUUUUAUGAGGAUCUCUUGUGUGAUCUACUGACUUUACUUUCGAUGAUACUUUCUCAUUUUUAUAUUAUAAUUUCAUUUAGUAAAAAGUCAAUAAUAAUAUAUAAGAUUAACGAAUUGUUCCAACGAUUAGCAGAAUCAAGAAGAGAAAAGGAUAAUUGGGCAUAGGCAACAAUUGAAAUCAUAGCUUCGACAAGGAAGAAAUGGCGGCAUGAAGUUUUUGUAAUAUUUAGUUAGGUUUAAUUAUAAUUAAAUUGGUUUAAUGUUAAAGUUUAAUUUGAAGAGGGCAUAUUAGUACAAUUGAAUGAAAUUUUGAUUUCAAAAUAAGAUUUUUUAAUACUAAAAAAAUUUAAAGCUAAUUAAAUAUGAGUUUGGAUAUAUAUGUGAGUUUUAUAGCUUGAGGCGGAUAUAUAUGUAAUUUUAAAAUUUAUAAGGAUAUAUAUAUAUAUGUAAUAUUUAAAGUUUCUAAGGAUAUAAAUGAAAUUAUCCCUAAAAAAACAAAUAUAGACAAGAAACUAUUAAACUUUUGUGAUAUCAAUAAUACAAAAUUGGACCAUUUUCUACAGAAUAAUUUUAAAACCGAAGAGAACCUGAUUGCCCAAAUACCCAACAUCAUUAUUUAAGUCAUAACCUGUUAUAUGACAAUAAAAUUGAAAAUUUCAGCCAAAACUCUGUUACAUGUCAUCAAAGUUGAAAAAAUAUCCUUUAAAGUUAGACGAGGGUAUUAAUAUAAAAAAUCGUCUUUCACUUUUUGUUGGAUGUAUUUUUUUGAUGACAGGAACAAUUAUCAGUCCAAACAUAAUCCGUAAAACCCAUCAUAGCCAAAUCAUAGAUUGCUUAAUCAACAAAAAAAUAUUACAGUCGUAGAUGGUAAUCAAGUUAGAACAUCUUUUUCUUAAAGACCAAGAAAUGGACAAUUUAUUAGAAUCACAUCACACUGAUAAAAGUCAUAACAAAGUGCAAUAGAUUGAAUCUAUAGUUUACAAUAAAUAUAAAAAAUAAAGCCUUGUCGGAGAUAGAAAAACUUGAGGACGAGACAAAAAAACACGUAACACAACAAAGUUGCAAACAUUAAAAACACAUGAUGCUAAUAAAUCUAUAAAAAAAAAAAGCAAAAUUUAUACCUGGUUGUAAGAUUAGUGUAGAGAACUUGUGUUAGAUUCUUUUUAACAUUUUGUCAAACACCUAAGGUGCAUGUUCUAAUAACCCAUCUUUUGAAUGUAACAUGACAAAAAAAUCCAAUGUUAUAUAAGAAAAGUAUAGGAAAUGAACUAAACUAACAUGUAUUUAGAUUAUGCAAAUUAUUUUGAACAAUCUUCCUUCAAAAAUAUAUUUAUUGUUGUUUCAUACUUACAUACAAAGUUUAAUUGAAAAAAUUUAAUUGUAAUUAUGCAAUUUGAUUCUACCAUAUAAAUACAACCACAUAGAAAAUUUAAGAAUCAAAUAAAAACUUUGUCUAUAAUACCGUAAAUUUGAUAUUUAAACAAAUAAGAUCAUUCCUAAUUUAGAUUCUAACUUCUUAGCCCGCUUUUGAUAUGGUUCAUGUAUUAAUAUCUAGAGAAACCGGUAUGCAAGGAUGUUGAUAUUAAGUGUGGUAUAUUGUUGUUACCGAUAAAAAAAGUUGUAGUUUACAUUAAAAGUUCUUAUUUCAUGGUAAGUAUGUUGCUAUAAUUUGUAAAAAAAAUCACAUAGCUAUUUCAGUUUAUAAUGGUUGUUGAGGAUUAAGUCCAAGUUAGUAGAUUAAGCAUUUAAUAUGAAAAGUUGUACAUUGUUGUUUUGUUUGACUUAAUCUAGACUGAAUGAUGUAAUAUGUUAAACCAAAAUAACCUUAUGUAAUGUUUUAUGAGAUUUCAAAAAUAGAAACAUAAUUUUGUUAGUCAUAGAAAACAAUCUUUGAAAGGUUGUAUUUACUGUACAGAAACAUAUACAAAUUAGAAUAGUUAUAGUUUAACCCUUUAUGGAUUAAAUUGUUUAUAAAAUCCAUCCCAUUAAUAGUGAAUAAAAGAUAAAUUAAAAGACAUUUACAACACGAAAAAAUCACAACAUGUUACUGUUAAAAAUGGUAUAACAAUGUACUUAAAACAUACAUUCCUAAAAAUAGUAUAAUAUGAAGUUAUUAUAUUCGACAAUAAAGUCAGAAACAAUAACCAAGUUGAGAUAAUCAAACAAACAUAAAUAGUAGCAACAACCGAUUUGAUCCAUUUUUAAAUUAAAUUACCAAUUUACCCUUUUGAUGAACAUAGUCCAUACUAAAUUAAUGAUUUAGACUUCGGAUAAAAAAUGGAAGUAUCAUGCUAAAAGAAUCAUUUUAGUAUACGUGUCAUCUUAAUAUCUAUUGUUGAUAUGCUUUUCCAUCCCAAUGCUUUUUAUAGUUUCUUAAGUCAAAUUACCCUUUUGCCCUUACGUUUCCUUACUUAAAGGUUUCCUGCAUUUAAUUUGCUAUUAAAUUAAAAUAAAUCACAUAAAUUUAGGAGUUUAUUGAUACCUUCAAAAGGUAAAUUCGAAUAUUCCAUCUUUAUUCUAUCACAAAUAAAUUUACCUUUCUGCUCAUAAACCUUCAAAUCAUACUUAAUAUUUAAAAAAAAUUCAUCUAACAAUAUCAAUAACCUUUAGUUAUGAUUUCAAUUUAAAGUUAGAAAUGUUGUGAUUCAACCAUCAUACAAAAAUAUUAAUUUACAUUCAAACACUAAAAAAAUAUAUCUUUAUUAAUUAAACGAAAGAAGCGACUAACCUUCUAGUGCACAACAACGAAGGUUUGAAGCAGAUAAUGAUGAUGGAAGUUAUAAACAAUAAGAAUGAUAUUGUAGGAGAAGGUUUGAAGCAAAGCAACGAUUAGAAAUAAGUGUGAGCCACAGAUUCAAAGAUGAAUUGUAUAUGUAUGUCAUAAUUUGAAUCUGAUUUUUGGUAUUAAUGGUUUCCUAAUAAAAAUGGAUUUUAUAUUAAUGGUUUACUAAUAUAAACAAAUUUAUAUUAAUGGUUGAUAUUUAUUGCCUUAAUUGAAAUAUUUUUUGUAAUAUGUUUUUAAUGUUGACCAUUUUAAAACCUUUAUAACCGGAAAUUCAAGAUUUAAAAUAUGAGAAACUUUUAUUAGAAUUAAAUACAUUCCAUUUCAAUAGAUUUAAGUUAAUUUUGUUUGACAAUUAGAAAUCUUUUAUUGGAAUUAAAUAUAUUUAAUUUGAAGAAGAUGAUAUCAUCAAUUUGAUCUAAGGGUGGAAAACAUAGGAUUGAAAUACAAUCAAUGGCCAAAAUUGUUUUAAUAUAUAUNCAAUGGCCCAAAUUGUUUUAAUAUAUAUUAAAGAUAACAAAAUUAUUGAUAUGUUCAUUUAAUGAGUUUUUUAAAAAAGAAAAAACUGAACAUGUUUGAAUUUUGAAGCCAAAAACUAUAAAUAAGGGAGUUAAAUUAUGAACAAUAUUAAUUAGAGUAAAUGAUGGCAUAGAUCGUCAAAAGAUGGAGAUGCUUGCUUCAGUUUGUAGAGAUUUGUGUGAAGCCAAAACAGAGGUGUGAUAAUUGGAGAUGCAAAGAAGAAGCAAUACGUAAAUUCUAAGAAUACAUGAGCAAAAAGGAACCAACUUAUGGUGCUACAUUCUGUUAUGAACACACAAAGCAUCAAUUGAAGCACAACCGUUGACAUGAGGACGAAGAGACUUAAGGAAUUAUGGUUUAAGAGAAAAAAUAGAGGAGAAAUAUGGGGCGACUAUUCAUGUUUUUGACAAGAUUUAUGGAGAAACCGAUACCNUAUGUCAUAAUUUGAAUCUGAUUUUUGGUAUUAAUGGUUUCCUAAUAAAAAUGGAUUUUAUAUUAAUGGUUUACUAAUAUAAACAAAUUUAUAUUAAUGGUUGAUAUUUAUUGCCUUAAUUGAAAUAUUUUUUGUAAUAUGUUUUUAAUGUUGACCAUUUUAAAACCUUUAUAACCGGAAAUUCAAGAUUUAAAAUAUGAGAAACUUUUAUUAGAAUUAAAUACAUUCCAUUUCAAUAGAUUUAAGUUAAUUUUGUUUGACAAUUAGAAAUCUUUUAUUGGAAUUAAAUAUAUUUAAUUUGAAGAAGAUGAUAUCAUCAAUUUGAUCUAAGGGUGGAAAACAUAGGAUUGAAAUACAAUCAAUGGCCCAAAUUGUUUUAAUAUAUAUUAAAGAUAACAAAAUUAUUGAUAUGUUCAUUUAAUGAGUUUUUUAAAAAAGAAAAAACUGAACAUGUUUGAAUUUUGAAGCCAAAAACUAUAAAUAAGGGAGUUAAAUUAUGAACAAUAUUAAUUAGAGUAAAUGAUGGCAUAGAUCGUCAAAAGAUGGAGAUGCUUGCUUCAGUUUGUAGAGAUUUGUGUGAAGCCAAAACAGAGGUGUGAUAAUUGGAGAUGCAAAGAAGAAGCAAUACGUAAAUUCUAAGAAUACAUGAGCAAAAAGGAACCAACUUAUGGUGCUACAUUCUGUUAUGAACACACAAAGCAUCAAUUGAAGCACAACCGUUGACAUGAGGACGAAGAGACUUAAGGAAUUAUGGUUUAAGAGAAAAAAUAGAGGAGAAAUAUGGGGCGACUAUUCAUGUUUUUGACAAGAUUUAUGGAGAAACCGAUACCUAAUAUAUAAAUAGAAUGAUAUGCUUCAAUUGAUAACAUAAUUGCUGAUUUUAAAGAUUCUAUAAUUAAAUGUAAUUGUGCUCGAAUUGUGAAAUAUAUUUUAGAAAGUAUGAUAUAUUCUAUAAUUAAAGAUUCUAUAAUUAAAUGUAAUUGUGAUUGAAAUUUAGUUGCUAAAUUUAAAGAUCCUAUAAUUAAAUGUUUGAAUUAUAUUUGGAGAAGAUGAUGUUAACAAUUUGAUCUAAGGGUGUAAAUCAUAUGAUUAAAAUACAAUCAAGGAUCAUGAUUGCUUCAUUGGUGAAUUAAGGGUUCUCUUUUAAUAAUAUUUAGAGAUGGAGAAAAAUAAUGGUAAUUUUUUUAUAAUGGUUUAGUAAGAAAUGGAAAAAAAUAAUGAUGAUUUUUUUAUAAUGAUUUAACAUAAUGUUCGGUAAUAUUUGAGCUUUAUUAGUUCAAAAAUGGCAGAAAUAGAAAAAAAAAUGGGGUAUAGAAGAAUGUAAUCCGGGUCUUUUUAUUCUAUGGGUUAACAUAAGGGUGUCGAACGGGUAAAAUUUCUAGGUUUCGGGUAGAACAGGUAUUUCCUUAAGAAAAUAAUACCCGAAACCCGACCUAUAUUGUAAUUUGGGGUUUUCGGGUUUCGGGUAUUCGGGUUUGAGGUCGGGUCGGGUAAUUAUCGGGUAUACCCGAAAAUUUCUUAAAUGACAUUUAUUGAUAUUUUUUUACAUGUUGGUUGGUUAAAUAAAGAAUUGGGUAGAAAAAUACUUAAUACAAUUAACAAGUACAUCUAUAAUAACAAUAAAAAUCGUUAUAAUAUGUUAUGCACUUUUUAAUUCCAUUACGUGCGAUAGAGAGAAACUGAGAAUUGUGAUGACGGUUCAGGACUUCAGCUUCAGCGUCGUAUUCCCUUUGCAAGUUUGUAUUGACUGUCGAGCCGUCGUUCAUAAAAGGAAACGAAGAGUUUUGUUUUAUUUGAAGUAUACAUACGUGAUUGCAUUAUAUAUUUGAUAUUAUUUAAAAAACGAAUUCGGGUAUACCUGAAAAUAAAUAUUCAUACCUAAAACUCGACCUAUAUUAUUAUCGGGUUAACUUAUUACCCGAAUAUUGAUACCCGUUACCCAUUCUACAUGACCCACUCUACCCAAAUUCGGAAUGGAUCGGAUAGAUAGAACGGAUUUCGAAUUUUUUCGACAAGCCUUGUUAACAUAACCUUUUUUUUAAAAAAAAGAUGCCAGUAAAAGUACCAAAAAAAAAAACCAUCGUUGUCCUGCGCCUAGCUUAAUUUUGGAAACCUCGAAUUUACUAUUUAAUCCCUAAAGUUUGGUAAUCUGUUUAUAUUUUUAUUAAUAGAGCUAGACAAUUUCAACUUGUGUCCUUGUAUAAUGUUUCUUUUGAAUAUAAUAUUCAAGGUACAUAAAUGGUCCUUACACUAUCAAUACAUUGACGAUUCAAAUUUCAUUUUAAGUAUGAUACGUAAUGGGAGAUGUGAAUCGCCAAAACGGUCCUAAAGUUUUAAUAACUUGAUAGUGUUUAUUAUUGUUAACUUUUUUAAAACUUUUGUAUUUUAAAGGGUUAAAUAUAUUGACUAUGAGUAUAAAUUUUAAGAGUCAAACAUUAUUAAUAUUGGAAUUUCUACAAUAAAAAAAAUAUAAUAUUUUACUAAAAUUGUUACGAACAUUGUAAUUAACGUAAUUCAAUAAUUAUUAGAUGACCAUGAGACAUAUGGAUGGUUGAGCCAAAAAAAAGGUGAGUAUGAUAUUUUUAUAGGAUUAUAGACUUAGAAAAUAUUGUUGGUGGAAUGUAGGGUUGCGGAUAUCGUGGUAAGCUUCAGUUAAGACACAACUACAAUGAUGUGAGUAUUUCGUGUUUUGUGGUUGGUCGUACAUAAAUGUUUAUCAUGCGUUUAUUAUGCGAUUUUUAUUUAUUUACUGACAGUAUGUUUUAUGAUAAGUAUGGUUGCAUGCAAAUGUUAUUUUAAAUUUGUUAUCUAUUUGUGUGUGUUUUUGGAUGACAUGUUUAACGAGAAUGGGUGGGUGUUUAAUCGUCAUGAGCAUGACGGACGAGUGUGAUUGGCUGGGGAUCGGAAUUGAGAAUCAUACUCAUUUCCUUGGAUAUUUAAAAUACUUGAGUACAAUGGAUGAUGAUUUAUCUCAAGGAGAAAGGAAAUUAAUCUUUGAUUCUUUCUCUGGAUAAUUAACCGUUCCCCUAAAUUAUGUCAUCAGGUGAUAUGUUUUGUUAUAUGAUUUAUCGAAACUAUAUGAUAAGACCUUUUGUUUUUUUUUAAGUGAGGAAUAUGUAUGUGUAACACGAACUCACUAGGCCAUACGCUUACCUAUUUAGAAACUUUAAAUGUGUGCAACCCAGGAAACUAUUUAGCAUGUGACAAAGAAAAGUCCAAGGAGAAAGAUUGAUCCAGAAGAGGACAGAGGAAUUCGACAAAGACAUAACACCCGAAGUUGUUCAAUUGAAUAUUUUCUUUUAUUUCAUUUUGCUUCGGCUGUGAUUUGGUCAAUAAGUAAGUUUAGAAUUGGUCUUGAGAUGUUGAAACGAUUAUUUUUCAUUUAAUUGAUAUUUGAAAAUUAAGGUGUUAUAGUUCCGGUUUCUUUUGAUUCUUUUAUUCAGUUAUGUUUUUGCUCAUCCCUAAAAAAAAUCCUUGAUGCACUAUUUUUGGUUUAUAGUUUUUUGUAUGCUGUAUAGCUUCGCUAGGGUAGGGAUGAAAGUGGGUCCAAACCCGGACCCGAUGGACCCGGACCCGGAAAACCCGGAACCGAUUAACGGGAUUUUAUAGAAUCAGAAACCGGACCGGUAUAUAGGAACCGGUUCCGGUUCGGUUCCGGGUAUGGUUCCGGGUAAAGUGGGUCUAGAACCGAAAAACCCGGAAACAUCAAAGUGGGUAGGUUGGAACCGGAUAAAGUGGGUUUAGACCCGGAAAACCUGAAAAAACCGGAAUUUUUUGGUAAUUACUUACAACUUAGUGGGUUGAACUUUGAAAAUUUUUAUAUUGAUAUCCCCACUUUGGGGGGCUGUAACUUAUUGAAUACGAAACCACAAUUAACAAAAUUAGAGUCUAAAAUCAUGUACAAACUCUAAAAUACACUCUGGAAAAACCCGCUUGUCAAUCCGAAUUUAAACGAAUGAGAUAUACUUGUGUUAAUAUUUUCACAUAAUACAAAGUACAAAAACAAAUAGCUGAAAAGUUGAAAAUUUUCAGUUUUGAUAUCCCGACUUCGGAGGACUGUAAAUCAUUGAAUGUUAAACCAAAAAUGACAAACUUAUAGCCUAAACUCAUGUACAAACUAUAAACUAGAAGUUGGAAAAAACCACACGUCAAUCCGACUUCAAACGAAGUAGAUAUGCAUGUUUUAAAACUUUCACCAAAUACAAAAAAAACUAAAAACUUUUAGCUUUGGUAUCUCAACUUUUGAGGACUGUAAGUCAAUGAAUAUAAAACUAAAAAUGAAAAAUUUAUAGUCUAGAAUCAUGUAGAAACUCUAAACUACAUGUUGGAAAAAACCGUAUGUCAAUUGGAGUUGAAACGAAUAAGAUAUGCAUCUUGUAAACGUUUCACAAAAAGUGUUUCCGGUCCUAAAAGUGGUUCCGGUUUCAAAAACCGGUUCCGGAUUUUAGACCCGGUUUACCCGGACCCAAUGGACCCAAACCCGGAUUACCCGGAACCCGGAUAAAGCCAAUUUUUAAACCCGGAACCGGACCCGGUUCUAUAUAUUCCGGUUCUAACGGUUCCCGUUCCGGUUCCGGUCCGGUUUUCCGGUUCUAAAUCUCAUCCCUACGCUAGGGCUAUAUGUUGUAUGGCUUCUCUAUGGCUUAUAAUUGGUUUUGGUAACCUCCAAUGUGAAGUUUCCAUUUAUGUAUGUAUAGUUGGACCUAAUAUCGGCAUUGAACUUGUUAUAAUUGCAAAUAAUAUACUUUUUGUUAUGUUAACCCUUAUAGUAAUUAGAUGUUGGGUGUUGCAAUGUCGUCUACCAAACUAACCGUUUAUUAAAAUCAUCAACAAUACUAUUAAACGUCUUUGGUAUGGAAGCACGGAAGGUACCUUUAUCCCUCAUAAAAAUAAGAUGCAAUUCCAUUAAUAUCUCAAUAGUAACAAGCAAUGAAAGAAUUAAUAAAAAUGUUGAGCAAUAUUAUUGUGUAUAACAUAUAUAAAAUUAAAAAUACUCCAUUAUGUAUAUAUAAAAGAACAAAUAUCUUUAGUUUCAUUAACCACUUUCUAAAAUAUAGUAAAAUAUUAACAUAACCAUUUUUGCAUACGACAUCACGGUUUCACCAUUUUGAAUUAGUGGCUAUUUUGGUUAUUAUGUUAAUUUUUUACUAUUUUUUAAAAAGUAAUUAAUAAUCUUUAACAUUUUUCUUCUUGUUUCUAUAGCCGCUGCUUUUAACAGAAGAUACGUGCAUAAUCGUGGAUCAUAGAUAGUCCGACUCCUAGGUCUCUAAGUUAUUCUUUAUCAUGAUAAUAAUAAUAAUAAUAAAAAAUCUGAAUAUUUUAGUACACAUUCAAGGGACUAGAAUACUAGAUAGUUCCUGUAACCAGCGAUUCUAUAUAAGAUUAAAAUACAACAAAAGUUAUAUAAAAUAUAACAAAAUUUGACAUUUUAUCGAAGUUUACUUAAAUUUAAAGACAUAACAUCUUCUUUUUGAAACACAACCACCACUUCCAAAUUUAUUAAUCAAAACAAAUCAUAUAAAAAAAUUAGCCAGUGAGCUCCUCCUCCUUGUGGGUCUCGAUGGUGACGUCAGAGGUCGGAUAAGCCACACAGGUGAGCACCCACCCUUCCUCCAACUGGUCGUCGUCGAGGAAGCUGCCGUCUGAUUGGUCCAGACUGCCGGAGACCACUUUCCCGGCGCAUGAUGAGCAAGACCCAGCCCUGCAUGAGUAUGGCAGAUCGAUACCGACUUCCUCCAUGGCGUGGUCAAGGAUGUACACGUCAUCAGGGCACUCGAACUCCUGGGUUCCUUCCGGGGUCACGAGGGUGACCUUGUAUGUGGCCAUCAUGGUAACUCCGCCGCGGUUACGGAUGCCGGUGCUGGAUUUGAGUCCGAAGAGGGCUGCUGUUUUGUUGGAGGUGGAGAGAGAACGGAUGGCGGUGGUGGGCUGUUGGCGGCGGAGGAAGGAUGUGCUGGCCAUGGUGCCGGUAAGAGAUGCGGUUGCUGCUGCCAUUGUGGUGGUGGUUGUGGUUCGGAGAGACAGAGGGAGAGAUGGAAGGGAGUAGAAGUAGUGAGAAUGAGGAUAGCAAGGAGGGCUUGUGGAAAUAGUGUGUCUUGAGGAUGAGAUAUCUGCCACGUGUCAGAUUUUUGUGGUGUGCUUUAUCAUGUUAUCACAAUACGUCUAUUUUUUUCGCCAAUUUUCAUUUGUUUAUGGUAUUAUUUUAAUAGUAAACAUGAUCUUGGAUGUA